ensembl:lincRNA
CCCAGUUCUUCCGAUUUGCUUUACUCCUGUGUCCCUCCAGGGGAACACACAUACAGUCCCGUCAGGUAUGAAAUCAGAGGGACCAGAGCCUCAAAAAAAUCUGUUCUCACACUGCUUUUGCUUACGUGCCUCCAACUCUCAUGGGAUGGUCUAUGGUUUCCAUGGCAAUACCUGGCAACAAUGCUGGGCAGCCUUCCAGGAGCUCUGUUUGGAAGCGAUGGGGCUAAAACGCGUCUGUCAGAGGUAAUAAAGAGUUCUCUGUGUGAACAUUUCUGUCUGACUGCUCCACUCAGACACCUGCGCAGGUUCAGAAGAACUGCUUUGACACCUGGAAGAAUCUGGCGGGAGAUGGUGGUGCCCAGCAAGAGGAUGUUGAUUCUAAAAGUCCCAAAAAUGCUCACCUGCAAAGAGAAAUUACUCUCUGCAGAAGCGGCAGUAUUGCACCAUGGUUCUUGCAGAAGAGGCAAGAGUGCCCACUGGGCAGAAAGUGGUGCCAGUUGGACCCAAAAGUGGCAUCCAAAAAAAAAGUCAGGCACAAGGCUAAGCCUGGCAGACUUGGUAAACCUGAGGGAGGAAGACAGUGACAGAGGAAGAUGAAUAAAACCCCCAAGCCAUCUGGCAAUAUGUGAGACACUGUGGGGAUGCCCAGGAUAAAACCGAAAGAAUUUUGAAGAAGCUGGAGCAAGAGUUAGAGGUGAGAAAAAUACAUCUCAGGGUGCCUCACACAGGGUAGGCAAUCAAGAUUUUCCUUUUAGAAAGGUGGGUUUAAAUGCCAGGAGAGAAGGUAUAGAGUAGAAUAGAAUAGAAUGGAAUGGAAUGGAACGGAAAGGAACGGAACAGAAUGGAAUAAUGACUCAGUUAUAAAUGUAUUCUCUCCAUAGCGUUACAAUCUGUCUUGAGUAAAUUUCUAUCUGCUGGUCCUUGCUCCGUCCUCUAUAGCAAGCGACUCACUUGUCACUAUAGCAGGGACUUAUUGAACUAUGUUUUAUGGAUUCCUGGGAUUCAAUCAGAGGUGCCUCAGGGACAAAGUGGGGAUUUGGGGGAGGGGCUCUGGUGUGGUUCCAUCCAUGAUUGUGCUUGGGGGAAAAAAAGGAUUUCUCAACUUAAAACAAAGUCACUGCUCUAUGGCAAUAUCAUAUAAGACAAGUCAUCCUUCAAAACAAUAACCCUUCAAAUAUUUGGAGACAGCUGUCGCAUCUCUGCUUGUUCGUUUCUCCUGAGGCUAAACACGUCAGACACCUGUUCCUCAGCUAAGGCGCUCCAGGUCCUUCAUCCUCCCGGCUGCUUUCUCACACUGCCUUCUGCUUAGUACCUGUCCUUUUGAAUAUGUGUGUGGCUGGAUAGAAAUUCAUGGACUUUGACCCAGAUAUGCUUUUUUAAAAAUCGUUAUUAUCAUGAUCAUGUGAGAAAAAUUAAACUUUCCAGAUAAAUUCAACUUCCAAUUUAAAGUACACACUGUUCUGCUAGAACACCUGUUUCUAUAACACCAAUCACUCACACACAAUUGAUCAACAGAAAGAUGAUGUCAGUAUAAUGCCGAAGUUGCUUUGGUUUAUAUGUGGUUUUCACUGACAAGGGAAGAGGAAUUAGCAGGAACAGCAUUAUAUCUAUCAGCAGGAAAGGACAAUGCCUCAGUUUGACAGUUGUACAGGCAGGAGUGUUUUAAUCUGCAUUUUAAUAAAAUAAAAAACGAGCACC